CACCUCGGGGCAGAACAGUCCUUUAAACAUUCAUUUCUUGACAGAUGCAAAAUGUGCAGGUUAACACUUUUUAAAUCUAAGACAGGCCGGAGAAACUCUCGAGAGGCACGAUCGUUAGUGCAAGAUCAAUGGUCGGCGUCGAUGAUCGACGAUCCGCAGUUGAGAGUCUUCAAGCUCGACACCCGUCGUACCUUCAAAGCGCGAAUCGCGCGCCCGGUUGAGUGACGUGCGAUACGGCGACUCCUCGGCCCUCCCGACGCAACUCACUCGGAGAAAAAUUACAGGCUCGCACUCGGCGAUUACUCGGCGCGAGUUGCAGGCCCCGAAAUAAAAAUCAGAUAUUUCCAUAUUGCGCAAUAGCAGGUCUGUGUGCCUGCGCGAAAACCAGGCGGCUUCCUCUUCGAAGUCGGCGAAACGUUGCGUCGUGACUUUCUCAAUAAAAACUGCAGAUGUUGUGUUUUUAAAAUGUAUAGAGAAAUUCGUUAUUAAAUGUUUCAAGUCUAGGCAAUUUUGUGAAAGUAUUAAAGAGUAAAAAUUAAAUUGAUUGAUAUUCUAAUAACCUAUUAGGGAAGAAGAUAAGUAAAAACUGAGAAAUUUCUACAUUUUCUUACCACAAAUAGAGAAAUUAUAAGAAAUUAUUGUGGCAAUAUUUGUCGAUGUAUAUUAGCUUUUUAUAAAAUAAAAUUUUGAGGAAAAAUUUGCCAAAUAUCGACAUAAAUUUUCUAAAGCAAUAUCCCCUUACUUCUCAGAAUUUAAACACUUUGUACUUUAUUAUAUUUUUGUGAAUAUAUAUAAUCACAGGUUGUAGUUUUCGUGUAAGAUUUAGUUAUGUAAUAAAUGUCUUAUCGGUUUUUGUAUUUGAGUAUAUAAUAGAUAACAUUAAAUCAUUUUACAUGUUUGUAUUAUAUAUUUGUUUUAUUUAUAUUUUUUUUCUUAUUUUUCAUAUAAUGCAAUUUUAAUAAAAUCGAAGGGAUAUGUGACUUUAUCUUUGUAGAACAUUUUUGUCUUUAUCGAUUGCAAAAUUCCAAGCGACGAUGGUUAGAGCAAUUUUUCGGCACAAACAUGUUAUAUUCAGACUCUGCCUAAACUUCCGUUAGACAGAAAUAGACGCGAAAUGACACGGAUAAGCGGCUGGGUGUCGCUGAAAUAAAACUCGCGGCCAUCUGGAUUCGCGGUGUAUGGAAAAACAAACUCGUCGCUUCGGUUCCUCCGCGCUUUAUGAUUCGGCUGAAAAUUUCGCGAUAACCGGUGAAUAAUUUGCGGAUAUCCGAAAAUAAUAAUUGCAGAUGUCCAAGGAGGAAGGGGACGAACAAUUUUUAACUUUCUAUAAAUGGCUGAUUGUGAGAGGCUGACGUUUUGUAAAAAAAAAUCAAUAUUAUAUCAGAGGAUUUUAAACUAUUUUAACUAAAAACAAAUAGUAAAUCCAAGCAUAUAAUAAAAUGAUAUAGCUAAAAUAUUGACUAAUACGAAAUUUGUCGUAGAUUAAGUCGAGAUAAUUAAUAGAAUAAUAUCACAUCAUGUCUAACCAGAAGUUCAGGUAUAUUAAUUAAAAACAAACAGUAGAUUCAAAAUAAUAGUCAUUAAUUGAUAAGACUAAUUGCCAUCAAUGACUAAUCAGAAAUUUUUCAUAGAAAUACUGUCGAGAUAUUUUGAUUAACAUUUUGAUGAUUAUUAUUACGUGUUUAUUAUUUCAAUAUAUUUUAAUGUUUUAUACUUUUUUAUACAACAUUUAGAGAAAAACCUUUGUUAAGAUCUAAUAUAGAGAUAAAAAAUCUAGCAAUCCGUUGAAUAGUCGCUUGUUAGUUUCCCUUAACCCAAGAAUAUAUAUAAGCUAUUUUCAACCUCGAUCAUCGCAAGAAAAAGCGAACUGAGCAAAGUUCGUUCUGAGAAAAUACGAAAAAUAUGUACGUAAAAUAAAACUUAGUGGUUUUAAACUGUU